GGGGCCAUGAAUGUAACAGUUACCACAUCAAGCGGGUUCAUCCUGAGUCCUGUCCAGCCCUGAUCUUGUGCGCCAGUUCUGAUGAUUAUGCUUCUGCUGUCUCCAGGAAACUGUCACCUUCAGCAGCUGACUCUAUACCCACAACCUAAGUCACAGGUCUGAUACCGGAGACGUUGUAGUUCUUGGUGCUGGAGACCUCAACCACCAGCCGGUGCCAGGUUCUUGACUUUGCCAGAGAAAGAAUUCAAGGAUGAGUCAGACUCAGGAAAUAAAUCCCUCCGUGGGCGACAUUAGCAAGCUGUGCAGUGGUUCUUCUGAAGUCUGCGCCGGAGCUGACGAUCCAUGGCCUCUGUAGAAAAGGUGAUGCAUGCAUUGCACGCAGGGACACAGGGGAAGUCCUGGUCCAGCUCAAGGUGCUGGAGGUUUCCAGUGGAGCCGGCAGAGCACACCAUCUGGAGGGGCUGACCGGAGCCUGGCACCGUGCCGAGACAGCAGUCAGCACCAAGAAUCUGACAAGAGUGACCUGCUGGACAGCAGGCCCUGGCAAAAGGACUCUCCCUGCUGGUCAGAUGUGAAAACCAAGCGGGCAGGCUUGGUACAAGUCUGUCAGCAAGUAGUGAAGCCGGAGAUGCCGGAUUAGGAACAAGAGACCGGACUCUAAUCCAACGUUACAAACAGAGAGGCAGGAAUCCAGUUCAGGACAGAAGCACGAGGGGAGACCAGGCAAGGUGUUGGUCAGACUCCUGAGGGAAGAUGUUUAAUAUA